rnacentral:rRNA from 1 species
AGAGUUUGAUCCUGGCUCAGAUUGAACGCUGGCGGCAUGCUUUACACAUGCAAGUCGAACGGCAGCACGGGCUUCGGCCUGGUGGCGAGUGGCGAACGGGUGAGUAAUGCGUCGGAACGCGCCGAGUAGUGGGGGAUAACGCAGCGAAAGCUGUGCUAAUACCGCAUACGUACUGAGGUAGAAAGUGGGGGACCUUCGGGCCUCACGCUAUUCGAGCGGCCAACGUCUGAUUAGCUAGUUGGUGGGGUAAAGGCUCACCAAGGCGACGAUCAGUAGCGGGUCUGAGAGGAUGAUCCGCCACACUGGGACUGAGACACGGCCCAGACUCCUACGGGAGGCAGCAGUGGGGAAUUUUGGACAAUGGGCGCAAGCCUGAUCCAGCCAUGCCGCGUGUCUGAAGAAGGCCUUCGGGUUGUAAA